GACAGAGGGUGCAAACGUUGUUCGGAAUUACUGGGCGUAAAGCGCGUGUAGGCUGCUUCGCAAGUCGGAUGUGAAAUCCCUGGGCUCAACCCAGGAACUGCGUCCGAUACUGGCAGGCUUGAAUCCGGGAGAGGGAUGUGGAAUUCCAGGUGUAGCGGUGAAAUGCGUAGAUAUCUGGAGGAACACCGGUGGCGAAGGCGGCAUCCUGGACCGGUAUUGACGCUGAGGCGCGAAAGCCAGGGGAGCAAACGGG
rnacentral:rRNA from 1 species